rnacentral:lncRNA from 1 species
GAUAAAACAAACCCUUCCUACAUGUGGGAUGCUUGUGGAUACUACCCACACAAUGCCCUUGAAGUCCUCUCUCUCAUGUCCUUGAUAAAAAUCAAGGAUGACAAUACUUUAUGGAUGCAUGACCAAGUGCGGGAUCUCGGAAGGGAAAUCGUUCGUAAAGAGAAUGUUGAUGAUCCGUGCGAGCGUAGCAGAGUGCAUGAUCCUAAGGAAGUGCUAAGCAUUUUGAAGCAGAAAGAGGUAUGAAAAGGGAACAUCAAUUUAUUUUAUUGUGAACUGUUGUAAAUUAUUCUUGUAAAAAAAAAAUUAAUCGCUAUUAACAAUUGGAAUUGUUUGCCUUUGAGCUUCACCAUGUGGACUCCUUUGUGUUUCCAUUGUCAGGGGAGUAGGAAAAUUAAAGCACUGUCACUUGGAUUUCUCGAAGACACUUUGGAAGACAUAAUUUUAAAGCAUGACGAAUUUGCUUAUUUAGAGAAGCUGAGGUUCUUUCGAGGAUAUCGCGUGUCCUUUGUUGGAGACUUCAAUAAUCUUCUUUCCGAUUUAAAAUGGCUUUCUUGCAAUUCCUCAUUUGUAUUUGAGGCAAAAAACUUUCAUCCAACUAAUUUAGUCGUUCUUGACCUUUCAAGGAGCAACAUUUCGGAAAAAGAUAUUGAUUGGAUCAAAGUACGAUACGAGUCUCACUCCUCACUCCUUGUAUCCAUACAUCAUUUCUUUUUAUUUUUUUUAUAGGUCAUUUCUCAAUAAAUAUUAUUGUUUUGCAGGCGGCAAGGAAACUAAAAGUCUUAGAUCUUAGACAUUGCUAUUACUUAAGGAGAGUGCCCGAUUUAUCUAUGUUGGUGUCUUUGGAGAUUUUGAGAUUACGUUAUUGUUCAAAGAUAAAGAAACUUCCAGACUCGAUUGGGAAAUUACAAUCAUUAAUUGAGUUGGAUUUGUUAGGAACGAAUAUUGAUCACCUACCGGAUUCAUUCAGCAAUCUAAAGCAACUAACAACACUUAGGAUGAGGGACAUUAAGGGAGGGUUGACAAAAUUACCUAGUGCGAUCUGGUUUGUUCAGUUAGUGGCUUAUUCUUUUUCGUCCCACGAUAAUGAGCUGUACUGUUUGAAAAUGCCAGACUUGUCAUGGACCCAAAUAUUUGGAUUACCCACCGUGGCGAGUCUCGUCUCUAAUAUCCGUGAACUUCGGAUGGACGCGUGGUAUAGCAGACGGCCCAACUUUUACCCCGAUGAUAAGCCGGAGAAUUUCACUUUUAAUUGCGAGUCCCUCGAGUGUAGCAAAUCUCAGAGGGAAAAACAAAUAUUGGCCUCCCCAAACAUGUGGUUCCUCCACCAGCUCCCGUCUAGUUUAAGAGACUCAGUAUUUCGAGGAGUGUGGAGUCUGGGUUUCUGUCGUUAUUGGAUGCCGAUAUUCGUUGGUAUAUGUGAUUCGGAGUCGGAGAAACUCCAUCUGCAGGAUUCCACGCUUUCAAGACGGAUUGAACAGUGUUGGCUGAGAAACAGGAAAUUCCCGUCCAGAUACCGUCGGAGGAUUCGUCGACAGCGGCAUCAGCCCACAAAAGCACUUGAGCCGUCGCAUAUGAAGAAUCUGCGAGAGGUAGAUCUGUUCGAAUGCGAGCUACUAGUCGAGAUUCGCGGCCUCGAAGAAUUGGGAUCCCUUUCAUCCCUUGCGGUCGCAUAUUGUAGGUCGAUCGAAAGGAUGCCAGACCUAUCGAAAUCGAGGAAGCUAAGGGAGCUUCGAGUGGGAAAAUGUCCGAAGCUAAGAAGCAUGGAAGGUUUGGACCGCUUGGAAUCUCUAAAGUGUUUGCGGAUUCACGAUUGCAGGUCUUUGGAGAGUCUGGUGGACACCUCGAAUUUGGAUUUAGAAUGUUGCCUGAUUGUCCGUUGCAAGCGGUUGCCCCACCGUGACAAUUAUUGUAAACGUGGCCAAGGUUGCUAUUGUGAGAUGCUUUUCGAGGGGUUGAGGAAAUCUGACCCGAUGGAAGUCCAGCAAGUAUUACAGGGACAUCCGGAUGUUGCGCCAGUAAGGAAUUUAUAACGUGGCUUGGUUGUUGUGCUUGGUGUAGCCAUUUUGUUUGUUUUGUUGUUGUUCUGUUGUUUUGUUCUGAGAAAAAGGCUUUCUCCCGGACAAAUAUUGGUGAUGAAGCUAAGGAAGUGAACGAGGCACGCUCAUAUGAUGCCAAAACGUUGUCCAAUUUUGAUCAGCUUUUGAACAUAGUACUCAGUUCAUCGAUUGCUGUCCAAACAUGAAGCUCUUGGCUUUUUUAAGGAUAGAGUCUUGACAAGGAUGCCUAGCUGAAAAUCUAAAUUGUUGUCACAAGCUGGUAGGGAGAUCAGGUAAAAACAGUGGCUUAUGCUGUGCAAACUUACUCCAUGUCUUAUUUCAAGUUUUGAAAGAAGUGGCAUGAAGAAGUGGAUGCAGUUAUAGCCAAUUUUUGGUUGGGAAAGCUUAACUGAAGCAAAGUUAGAAUGAGGUUUAGGUUUAUCACAGUUUGACAGAACCCUCCUUGCUAAGCUUGCUUGGAGAAUCCAAGCAACCCCUCGGAAUUUUGGGUGCAAAUAUUUGAAGCGCUCUACCCUUUGUAGCUUCAUGGAAGUUAGAAGAGGUGGCAGAGUGUCUUGGGGAUGGAGUAGACUUUUGGAAUGAGAGAUCUAAUUAAGGAAGGCAUGUUAUAACAAAUUGCUAGUGGGAAAUCAGUCAAAGUUGGGGAGGAUAGGUUGGUGAAGGAGAGUUGAGACUUGAUGCUGCAUCCUUCAAUCUGACUCAGGUGAUAAAGGAAUUAAGAAUGGAGUCUCUAAUUGAUGCAGAUACUAAGACUUGGAACUUAAACCCCAUCAAGGACAGCAUGCGGCAGGAGGAGCAGUGACUGGUGUUGAGAAAUCACAUAAGGUCGAGAAGUUCCGAUGACCAAAUGAUUUGGCCCUGGAACAGGAUUGGUUGUUCUUCAGUAAAGUCUCUACCACUUUACCAUGUAGAAAAGAAAGAAACAUCUACUAAAGCCUAGAUCCUCAAGCUCUCAUACUAUUGAUGGUAUAAUUUGGAAGUUAGCACAGGGAGUCGACUCUCCUCAAGAUAAGACACUUCCUCUAGCAACUUUGCUUGAAUGUUGUGCCUGAUGCUGCUACAUGUGCAAAAGAAAAAAAUAUAGUUUCUCCUGGCAAUGGUGCCCUUAAAAGUUUGUGGCAACAAACUUUCAUCCGACUAAUUUAGUCGUUCUUGACCUUUCACAGAGCGAUGUUUCAGAGAAAUGGAUUGGCUGGAAUCAAAUCAUAAUAUAGUACGAAUCUCACUCCUUGCAUACAUGUUUCAUUCCUUGUCGUUUUUUUUUUCCUGCAAAUAAUUUCUUAGUAUAUAUUUUGUUUUGCAAGUGGCAAGUAAACUAGAAGUACUAGAUCUCAACAAUUGUGAAUACUUAAUGAGAACACCUGAUUUAUCUAUGUUGGUGUCCUUGGGGAGAUUGACUCUUGAAGGUUGUCACAACUUAAUUGAAAUUGACCCAUCCAUUGGUAAAUUAAAGCUCCUAACUGCUAUGAACCUAAAGGGAUAUGACUCUUGUCAAGAGUUACCUGAAGAGAUAGGAUAUCUACAAGCUUUGGCAGAGAUUGUCAUGCCUAAUACCCUACAUGAACUUUCGAAGAGAUUUGGUAAUUUGCGGUCAUUGUUGACCUUUGAUGUAUCGCAUAGGCAGAUUAGCAAACUGCCAUACUUGAUUGGAGAGCUAGUGAAACUUAGGCGGUUGAUUUAUCAGGGUGUACAAAGAUAGAGGAACUUCCAGACUCAGGUUUGGAAAUUACAAUCCUUAGUUGAGUUGGAUUUGUAAUUGAUAAUAUUUGUGGACCUUAAAAAGAUUUAAAGAUUGACAAGUUUCCUCUGUUAUGUGCAGUGAACAAGAAGCACCACUCUCCAUUUUUGAGCGAUGAAGAAUGGCGUUUCGAUAAAAUAGCCAAAGAUGGCGGUCUAUGCAAGCACAAGAAUUUGAGUGGAAUCAACACUGUUGUAGAAAAAAGAAUAAGGGAAGCACAAGCAGUUUGCGACUGCAUUUAGUUACCAAAUUACCAGCCAUCUUCACUAGCAGUCAGAUAAGCACCGAGGAUGGUACUCCUCAAAGGAUCGAACUAGUGGAUGGCAAGACCAAUGAGAGGGUUAUGAAUGGCUCUCUAUCUUCCAUAAAGCUCAAAAUUGUCAUCCUUGAUGGCGAUUUCAGGUCAGAUGAGGGAGAGGAUUGGACCGAGAAGGAAUUCAAUUACAAUAUCGUUUGCGAAAGGGAUGGGAGAAGGCCAUUGAUAACCGGGGAGCUAAAUGUGAUCUUGCAAGGGGGAAUUGGUUGCCUCCGUAAUUUAAUCAUCACUGACAGCUUGAGCUGGAUGAGAAGUCGGGAAAUGAGCUCGAGUUGUUCAAAAGGUUUGUGCAGAAAUAAGAAUAAGUGAAGUGAGUGAAACUUUCAUCGUUAAAUAUCAGCGAGGAGAGUGUAAGUUUGCAAUGCCUAUCAUUUUAUGAUAACAAUUAAUUUCCAACCAUCAACUCUGUAUGUGGACCUUAGAAAGACUGACUGACAAGUUUUCUCUGUUAUGUGCAGUGAACAAGAAGCACUAUCCACAAUCACUGAGCGACGAAGUAUGGUGUUUGCAGAAAAUAGCCAAAGACAGCGCUCUGCACAAGUGCAUGACUUCGAGAGGAAUCAACAUUGUUCAAGAUUUCCUCCAGCUGUACAAAGUGGAUGCACCUUUCUAAGAAACAAAGUGACUCUUACUCUUCGAGCACUGCUAAUUUCCCUUUUUUCCAGUUCACGUUAUUCUAAGCAUUGUUCAAUAUCAAAUCGUGCUACUUCUUUUGUGUGCGAUGUUAUAUUAGGUACUUGGAAAUGAAAUCACCAAGCGGACAUGGGAGACAAUUGUCAAACAUGCCAGCCCCUGUGUGAUCAACGAUAACAUGUAUUUCUACCAAGCUUUGAACAAGGCCAGUAUAGUGUUCAAUUCGGUCAUGAAAGUUGCUCAAGCAGCACCCGAUGGCCAAAUUUACCAGUGGGUUGACAUAUUGGCCCACUCUCAGAAGGUACAUAAAUCAUAAACCGAAACAUCUCCAUCUAGUAGCUGAGUGUGAAUCUAUCUGGACCUAUAGAAAGGGCCUGUAUUUAUCGGAUUAGUCUGCUUCCAUGGCAGAAUAUAUACUGCAAGCACUUCUCUUUAAAAAGUACCCGUUUGAUUUUGGACUUGAUUGAACCCGCUGCUCGGUUGACAGAUUUUGUUGCAGAACUUGAAAUGGCUAGCUUACGAUAACAACAAUCAAUGGUGGCGCUUGAUGCCCUGCCCAGCAUCUCUCUUCUGAGAGCCCCAACCAAUUUGCCUACAGAGCCGUCAAUUGGCCUGAGCCUGCCUCUUCAUCAUCUAGUUUACACAGAGCUAAACCAAGGUAUUGUGGUAUUACAUCACUUCCAUCUAUCUUUUCCUUUUUGGCCUUCUUGAUCUUUCACAGUUUAGUGUUCCCAUUUCUUUAUUGGCACAUCCACCUUUAUGCACGUCUAUGGUAGCUGAAACUGAAAUGCAUCAUUAUUCAGAUAGACCAGAAGUGACUCCUGAAUUUAGUUACUCACUGGUUUCAGCAUCAUGCUGCUACAAUGUCACAAAGAUCAGACAAUUAGGUUGUCUGGGGCCACAGUCAUAUCACUACAAAAAUCUUUGAUCCGACUGUAAUUCAACAGCUUGGCAAGGGAGGACUUUUUGUCCAGUUUGAGUGCUGGCGAAAGCAGUCAUCUUCCUGGUUACACACAAGAUCUGUUUGCGCCAAACAUCCAUUUGUCUCCUGAGGAGCUUUUCCAAGUGCCAUCUCCAAUCCCUGGCAAUUUAAUGUGGACACCGGAGCAUACUUUCAUCAUUGAGUCGAGCAGCAGGGCAGAUUUUGGGAUCUGCCCAUCUCGCACGGGUUAUGGAGUCCAUAAUUCUAGGAUUGCAAGGCCCAAGGUGGCAUGGUGCAAGAUCCGUGAUGUGGUGAAGUGGGGAUUGGUUCAGCGCGUUGGGGCUGCAAAGAGAAGAGCAAUGUUCAAUUGUGCAAGUUAUCCAGCUGUAUAAAUGGAGAGUUCCAUCCCCCAAACAAAUUUUGGGUGCUUCAGGAGCGCGAAGCUCUCGCCCACACAAGCCAGUCACCACAUGCGAAGUUCAAAAAAGAAGGAAAUUCGUGAUACUUGAUGCUAGGAGAUUGUCUUUGGGGGUAUGAGAAUGUCUAAUUCUAGGGGUAAGCUGCCCAGGAUGCAUCAUCGACUUAGUAUUAUGCAUGAUCACUGCAAUUUUCUCUAUUGUUUUUUGUUGAUUGUCCUUUCAUAUUUGAAUGAAGUUGUGCACCAUCAAGAUGGGGCUGCCAAUUGGACAUGUCUUCUCUCUGUAGGCCACGCAAGCUGAUCUUAGGAAGUACCUCAAUACAGGGGUUCUUCCUCAAGAAUUGUAAGGCUUUUGCUCUCUUCUUCAAGAAUUGUUUGGCAUUCUGUUUGUCCCAAAUACAUCAUCCCUUGAUUUGUCAGUUUACUACUCUGAUAUGCUUAGUAGACUUUUCUUUGCUUUACAAAAUUUGUGAGUAUAUUACUUAGUUUGCGAGAUCCAAAGUUUCUCCUGUCAGCUUUGCUCUUAUUGAUCUGAAAUAUUAUAUGGUAACCAUUAGUCACAAAACCCACAAUCUUGACGGUAUAUAGUCAAGGUUCUUCUAUCGCCAAUGUGGGACCUUCUUUUCCAUCUAACAUUCCACCGAGUUCUUGUAGGCUUGGAUCUAAGACCGCUUCGAGACUAUUCCAGAGAAUAUUUCUGGGCGAGAAAAGAGAUGAAUUUUUCUCUUUCUAAAUUGUGCAGUUUUGCUUUCAUCUGCGAAAAAUUGAAAUGGAAACAAUCCAUCUUUAUCAUUGAAAAUAUGCAAGAUGUGCAAAGUUUCCCAUUUGAUCAAUGAAAAGUGCUUAUUUGAUUGUGAUAGUGAGUUCUAACGGAAGAAAUAGGGAGAACCAAAAAAGUAUCCUUGGGCAGAAAGUAAGAUCCGAAUACGAACUUGUAAAGAAAAGAGUGUACCAGCAAUCUAGGACGUUGCACACAUGUGCCACGUACCUAAAAUUGUCGAUGGUGUUAAGCAUGUUUUAGUUCCUAAAUCUGUCAUAGGUAACAGCGGUGAAAAAUGGAAUUCUUCUCUUGUAGGGCAAGGUCUUGGCAAGAAAGAGUAUUGGAUUUAUUUCCACUGCAGUGAAUAUGUUGUGGUGACGAGGAGAUUGAGAACGGAAUGUUCCUUAUGAACCUUUCCUCUUCCAGAACAUUGCGCACUAUCUUCUUGUGCUAAGAAAAUGGAAGCCUGAACUGCAAAGUUAGGAGGUCUCUUAUGUGAAAACUGUUGUCUAGGCUAAGCUGCAGAGCGUUCCUCUGUAUCUUCUGACAUUGGAGGGAAGUCUUGACGGCUUUUUCAAGAGUGAGAAAGGCCUAAGGCAGGUCAAUCCUUUAUUGCAUAUUUUUGUUAUGGUGAUGGAGGUUUUCCCAGAACUGUUCAAUAAUUCUGCAAGUCAUGGCAAAUCAAAAUACCAUUCUCAGUGCUCUAAGGGGAAACUUGCUGACGAUUUGAUGAUAUUUUCCAAAGGGGAUAUGGAUUCUUGAAUGAAACUAUUGACUUUGUUUCAGAGACUUAAGCACACGUCAGGUCUUAGUAUUAAUCCCCUUAAGACAGAGAUAUAUAUGUAGCUGGUAUUAAGUGGCAGCUAGUGGAUGAUAUACAUCUCUUGGUGGCUUGGCCAAAUGCCAGUUAGAUACCUUGGCCUUCCCCUGAUUUUGGGAAGGUUAAGAGAUAGAGUGUAAGCCUUUGGUGGACAAGAUUACUUUUCGAGUGAGUCCUUGGACAAUUAGGCAACUCUGUUGCGCUGAAAGAUUGCAACUAGGGGUGUGCAACGGGAACCGCCCGAACCGAGAACCGGCCGGACCAGACCGAACCGGCCGGUUUUGGGCGGUUCCCAUGGUUGGCGGUCCGGUUCCCGGUUCCUAAUCUUGGAACCGGUGGCCGGUCGGUCCGGUUCCCGGUUCUAAGGUGGGAACCGGACCGAACCGGACCGAAACAAAUUUUUUUAUAUAUAAUUUAUAUACAUAGAAUUAAUAAAUUAUAUAAACAUGAUAACUUAUUGCAACUAAAAUUGUAAUUUGAGGUAGCAUCAUCUUAUGUGGCCAAGAGACCAUUAAAACUAUUUUUAUUACUCUUUUUUUAUAGAAAAAAAUCUCCUUGUUAGUUUUUGUUGGAAAUAUGAUUUGUUUUUUUAUUCUAAUUAUCUAAAUACAGUUAAUUGAUUCUAUGAAUCCAUGAUAUUGGAUAUUAGGACAAUAGUAUAGGAAACAACAUAUUUUGUAUAUUCUUUCCUAUCGUACUCUUUUCUUGUAUUAUUAAUAGGUGUGUAAUACAUGUACAAACACAGCAAUACACAAUACAGAAAAUUCCUCCAAUUCCUUCUCAGUUUUUGUCAAUUUUCUUUCUCAUUUUCUAUCAGUUUCAUCUUCUACUUGAUGUGGGACUAAGGUUCCAAGAGACCCACAAGGCACUUCAAGCCUCCAACAAUCCCACAUUGACUAAACAUUUAAAGAGCAGAGAUUGUCUAUAAAAUCUAAGCCAUGCAUAACUUUUAGCCAAAUUAUUCACGGCUUUCAUGGUUAAAGUUAAGUGUGAAACACACAAAGUGUGAAUCACAUUUGAAUAUUUUGCACAUGGAAACAUGUGUGAUUAGUUUUGUUGAAUUGCUCAAAAACCGAAUUGGAUUGAUCGGUCCGGAGCGCGGUCACUCUUUUGUGCAAAAAAGUAUAGUCGAUUUUGUUGGACCGGACCGGACCGGACCGGAACCGAUGGUCGGUCCGGUUCCCGGUCUUAGGACCAAACGGUCCGGUCCACGGUUCACAAUUUUGGGAACCGGUGCUCCCGGUCCGGUUCCCGGUUCCAAGGUGGAACCGGACCGAACCGGGAACCGAUCACCCCUAAUUGCAACUCAUUGAGGAAGUAACAGCUUGGUGAAUUUUUGGAGUCAAAUUUUUUUGUUGCCAAAAAAGUUAUCAAUAUGAUGGAAAGCAAGUGUAACCCUUUUGGAAGGGAGAAUCUGAAAACGCUCGAGGUUCAAAAGUUGCCUGGAUGAUGCAUGUCUCCCCAGGUUUAAGGGUGGUUCAGCAUUGAGGAAACUAGGGCCUUGAAAUCUUGCUUGUCUAUUGAAGAACUUAAGGAAAUUUUGUUGCAGGUUGGAUCCAUUCGGGUGGCCUGGCUUAGCCGUUUCUUGCUUAAAGGGCAGUCUAUUUGGGCAAUGAAUCCAACUGGCGAGAGCAGCUAUGCUUGGAGAAAGUCUACUUGAAGCAAUGUAAAUUAGUAUAUAAUAUAUAGUUUCAUUUAAAAUUGAUAUUUGAAAAUUUGAUGGAGAAACGCGAACUCAAUUGUAAUUUGCAUUGCAAAGCAUGGCUUACGUUGUCACUUUUCUUCUUGUCCCAUAUAAAACUCGACCUCACUUACAACGUGGUUUUGAGAAGACUUUUUGAGAUUUACUACUUGUCAUGUCUUACACACAAUGGAUGAUGAGAUUGGAAAAAUGCAAAGUCAAGAUUUUCAAAUUAUGAUAUGGGAAAUCUAUUCUUAACUUUUCAUCACCAAUAUAUGAAGAUUACCAGAAGCCCACCGGACUAGAUCUUUGCUAGAAAUGCAUUUCCUCAUAGGGUGCGAACGAUAAUAGUUUUGUUUCUCUAUUUUUCUUUUCUCGAGAAUAGGUUUGGAAUAGAAAUCCGUUUGGUGAUGUAAUUUCAUUUUUUUAUCUUCAGAACAAAUUUUGCACCUAGAAAUAGGUUUGGAAGAAAAAUGAGAAGUAUAAAUUUUCUACUUUUCUCUUUCUAGAACAAAAAUAGAAAUAAAAACUUUUAAGGUGCGUUUGGUAAUCAUUCUGUUCCGGGGAAUAAUUUUUUAACAUAAAUAGUUUUUUUUUUGUUUUUAUUUCAUGGAACAAUUUCUGAGUAUAAGAACGCGCUUGGUAAUUGCAAAAAAAUUAUAUUCCAGGAAUAGAAAUACGUUUGAUAAACUUGUAUAAUUUUGUUAUUUCUUUUUAAUUUUUUAAUAUUUUUCCUUUUUUUCUUUUUUUUUUCCUUCUUUAUUCUUUGUAACCGGUGGCCGGCGGCUGGCGACCGGCGAGGUCCGACGAGCUUGCCGAAGCUUCACCAGGCCACUGCGAGGGCCGGCGAGCUCGCCGGAGCCUCACCAGGCCACCGCGAGGCUCAGCCUCACUAGAUAUGGGCCUCGCCGGUGGCCUCAAUAAAUAGGUGAGCCUCGCCAAGCCACCGGCGAGGCUCAAGCUUGCCCAAGCGACGCGAGGUCGGCCUCGCCUUGGAGCUUGCCCAGCCAAGGCGAGGCCGAGCUCGCCCAACCACCGGCGAGGCUCGGCCUCGCCAAGCCGACGUUGGGCAACAUCGCCUGCCAGUGGCCUGGCAACUCUCUGGAGAGGUUGUCGGCCCUCUACGGCCGGUCACUGACCAUGGCCGAGGCCGGCGACCAGCCAAAAGGAAGAAGAAGGAAAGAAAAAAGAGGAGAGAAAAUUUGUUUCUCAAAAUUGUUCCUGAGAUUGAUCUUGGGAACAAGAAGUUACUCUUUUCUACUUCUUGUUUUUGUUCCAAAUCUGUUCUCGGGAACAAAAGUUUUACCAUGUUUCUAUUUUAUUUUUGUUCCCCGGAACAAAAGAACAGAAAUUUUUGUUCCGGGGAACAAAAACACUUUUUACAUCACUCAUCCUUGUUGCUACCCUCCACCGGCCGUCGCUGUCCUCCACUGGUCACCUGCCCUUCGCCACCUAUUGGUCAUCGCCCUCCACUCGCUAGCCACUUGCCAGCCACCAAUCACCACCUUUCAUCGGCUGCCACCAAGAAAUUUUAAGACCUAUCAAACGAAUUUCUAUUUCGAGAAUGUAAAUUAUGUAUUGUUAUCAAAUACAUGUCUUUGUUCAUCAACUCAUCCAAUGAAUAGAAAUAGAAAAAUCUAUUUCUUACAAGAAAAUAUUACCGGGAACAAAAUGAUUAUCGUUUGCACCCUUAUUGAACUUGAAUUUAACCGGAACAAAUCAUAAUGCAGCGGAAUCUGAAUGGGUUCCAUAGGUAAGUUAAAAGACAAAAAAGAAAAAGAAAAAAUGUUGAAAGGUCAACGUCCCCAAGACAUGUCAGUGGGAGCUUAGGCAAAGAAUUUUCGCGGAGCAAACCUGAAAUGCAGUUGAUCACUUCGUCUCAAUUGCUCUCAGCUCACCUGUGACAUGACCGUUGGACGAUGACCACACACGUUCCACGUUCCUUUUUUACGAAUACUUUACAGAGGAUCAACAUCCAAUAGAUCAUCAGCGUAAUCUGGAGUAGAGUUUCCCAUAUCUAAAGGUCGAAAUCGCAUUUUCUUGAAAACGUCGUCCGCCCCUCUUCUCCAUUCCCAUCGCGAUCUACAUCGUACACCACUGAAAAUUAGUCCACAAAAUGCAUGAGAAAUUGCAUGGCAAAUAUUUCGCAAAGAUAAAAUCGGCAUUGAAACCAGAAAAAGGAUCCAAAUGCCAAUGUUCCCACAAAUAUGAGAGCUCACCAUUAGGGAUGGGCAUAGGGGCGAGUCCAAUCCCCAGCCGGCGAACUAGGAACCUGCACCAUCCCUGUCCCGUUCCCCACGCGUGGUAGGGUGUUUUGCGCGGUUCCGUUGAAAGGGCAGCAGAGGGUAAGAUAGAGAGAGACAGUGUAUUAACACUUUGCCAAAAAUUUUGCCUUAAUUCCCACUAGUAUCCGUGUAUUAAAAUAGAGCGGGAGGUACACUCAAGUCAACGCUUAGCGAGCCAUACCAACAUUGUCCAUAACAUUGUCCGUAGCGAGCCAAACCAACAAGAACCGACGCCCAGAGCUUAAUGGAUAAUUAGCGAAGACACUCAAGUCAACGCUCUAAAGUCAAACCUGAAACUGAAUACACCGCCAAAAACUAAAGGGCCGUUUGAGGAACUAAAGAAUCGACUACUCAGGAUGAGUUUGAAGAGAGUAGCCUGGUCAACUUCGACAAACUCAGCGACCCAGGCCUUUGAGGACGUCCUCGAUGGUGCCAUCGUCGGACUUGGCAAACUCGACGUGCUUCUUGCAGUACUCGAUUGACAUUGAAGUACGAUCGUAAUUUGAGGAACCAUGAUCACCACGGCGAAUGCACACCAAUGGGAGAGGCAAGGACACAAAUGCAGUCGAUGAGGAAGAUCACCCUUGGGAGCUCUGACGGUGAUCCGUUCGAGGUCAACGAGGCUGUGGCCGACGAGUCACAUACGAUCAAGCACAUAUACUCACCCUCAUUAUGCACAAUUGUGGCUGAUGUUUUAUCCCAUGUACUCAACAAUGCUCUGUAGGAGUGUUAGCGUCAGGGAAUUAAGCUUAAAAAGGAGAGUCCUGAGCCCCCCUUCUCUUUACAUAUGGCUUCCUAUUCUUUGUUGUUGCUGACCCUGUUUGAACUGCGGAUGUUCCCAAAAGAUUGUUGACUGUAUUGCACUCUUGUCCGCAGGAUUAUCUUGCAAAAGUCCUGUAUAUGCUUCAGUCCUAACACGGGUGCAAAGUUGAGAACAGAGGUAAGCACAGUCCAGGGAAUCAACGUUAUUCAGAACCCUGGUAACUAUUUGGGUCUACCUAUUCUAUGGGGUAGAUCUAAACGUGAAGCUCUUGGCUUUGUGAAGGAAAGAGCCCUGAAAAGAAUGCCGAGCUGGAAAACUAAAUCGGUCUCACAAGCUAGUAGAAUAGGUAUUACAACAAAAAGUAAUGCAAUGAAAUAAAAUAUAAAUCAUGGUAUAAAUACAUGUUGUAUCAGAAACAAAAAGUUAUGAAUAUUCAGAACUCAUUUUAUGAACUCAUUUAGCUAGUACAACAAAAAAGUUGGAAUAUGUGACCCCAUGUUGUAUCAGAACUCAUUUUAUGAAUAUUCCCGGUUCCUAAUGAAAUAAAAUAUAAGUCAUGGUAUAAAUACAAGAAGUUAUUCAAUAUAUCAUAAUAAGAUUGUUAAACAAGGUUAUCUUCUCAUCACUCCCUAAUAUUUCUUGAUUUCUUUUACUUUCUUUUUUUUUCAAAAGCGAGUUUGCUUCCCUAGCAAAGAAGGCAAGAGUUCAAGAUUCCAUUAUGAUAAAAUCAGAGAUUUAAAAAAAAAAACUACUGAAGAAUAUAUAUUUUUAUAAUCAAACGGAAGCGCUAUUACUUGUAAGGAAGAUGAACUCUGCCUAAUUAGCUUUUUCUUUUCCCUUUUUAUAUUCACCAACCGGUGAAGAUGAUAUGCUUGGCUCUCCUUAAGCUUCCUGUGAUUCCAAGGCUGACACCUAAGCUUCAAUCACAAUAAUAACUCAUCCCAUCUUAAGAGGAGACCUAUCAUCCAAUUCAUUCUUAAUUCAAGGAUAUCUCUAAGCCCUCUUUUGCUUUUUAUCACGCCUUAUGUUGAAAUCCACAAGGAACCAUUCUAGAUUUAUCUUCCUCAAGUGGUGGAAAUUACAAUUAUAAAUAAUCAGAAUUGGAAUUGACUAUCAAAAUCAAAACGUAUUGCUUUCUAAGAUGUGUUAAUCAUUACCAUUGUCUUGAGCAAAGGCUUGACGUUAAUAAUUUCCAAUCAAAAUUGAUUGGAUGAACUCAAUUAAUAAAAAGUUAGUAUAUUUUAGAUUUUUUGGAUAAUUUUCCCCUACUAAAUCCACUAUACUAUGGAAUUCGAAAUUAAACGGACCAAAUCACAACGCAACCCAAUCUGACUGGGUUCCGAUAGGCAAAGAGAAAAGACAAUUCAGAUUGGUCAAAAAAAUCUAAAUUAUGAUGUCACCGCGUUGAUCGGCACAAAAGGUCAACGUCCUCAAGGCACGUCGGCGGGAGCUUAUCCAACAAAAUUUCCAAGCAAGAAAGAAGAAAAACAAAGGAAAAAGAAAACCAAGUCAGCUUCUGAAUGAUCAAUCUUUUCUUGUUCAGUAUUCAAAAUGAAAAACAGAAGAGCCCACUGUCUUCAGAAAUGAAAACCAUCAAACUCGAUCUACUCUAAAGAACACAAGGCUAAUAGAUUCUUAUUCUCACCAGCACACAACAAAACAACAUCUCUCUCUCUCUCCCUCCCUCCUAUAAAUUACCCUCUUCACCACAUCUUACCUUGAAUCCAACAAGCCGUCGAACUCUUCAGUUUGUCCAUAAAUCGUACCAAAAAAGGACAGAACAUCUGGUUUUUUUGGCCUGUCUCUGUCUCGUCCUUGCUGAAAGAGGGGGAUGGCUGAGACGGUAGCGAGAGAGAGGAAGAUACUGGUGGCGGUGGACGAGAGCGAGGAGAGCAUGUACGCCUUGUCGUGGUGUCUCCAGAACGUCGUCUCCGAGAACUCCAAGGACACCCUCGUCCUCCUCUACGCAAAGCCCCUUCGUUCUGCCUACACAGCCCUCGACGGCACAGGUAAAAAACUAAACGUCAAGAUGUUCUUCUUCUUGUUCCGACAUGGUGGGGGUGGCGGCAGCAAUGAGGGCCUCCUCACCAUAGAGGCCCUUGUUGAUUUGCUUCCAAAACCCUUUUUUUUUUUUUUUAAUUAAUUUUUUAAUUUAAUUUAAUUAAUAUUUAUAUUAAAAAUCAAAUUUAUGGGCAAAACAGCGUAUUGCUGACUAAGCAUUCCAAUGAGUAACGUGGAUAAGUUUUAUUAUUGAAAUAAUGCAAUAUCAGAUUUCUAACUACUUUCGUCAGAAUUAGCACUUAAGUAUCCAUUUUUUUUUUAAAUGCCACUUAAAAUGCCACUUAAAUGUAUUUUUUGAAGUUUUGGCACUAAAGUGUUGGCUCAUGCCAAGUUUUGGCACUUAUGGUGUACAUUUGCCCUCGUCCUCCUCUAUGGAAAGCCCCUUUGAUCUUCCUACAGGUAAAAAAACUAAACGUUCUUUUGCUAUGGAGACCAUCUCUUGCGAUUAUAUUUAUAGAGUGGUUUUGACAUUUUUAUUUUUCAUUUCGUUCUUUGUUCCGGUACCUGUUUUCUUCAGACAUAGUGGCCACCAUGGAGAGGUACAACAAUGAAAUGGCCGACUGUUUUAUGGCUAAGGCUAAGAAGAUCUGCCAUGAUUGUGGUGAGAUGAGCUCUUAUUAAGGCAUAAAUUUCUAAAUUUCAAUAAGCGAAAUAUCAAAGGGAUUACUGUGAUGGUUGACCUGGGUAUGGUUGCUGUUAUUGGGGACAGGUCGAGGUGGAGACGAGCGGGAGAAUGGGGAUGCAAGAGAUGUGAUCUACCGAGGGACGCAGAAGUUGGCACCUGAUGUUCUGGUGAUGGGAAGCCAUGGGUACAGCCUUAUCAAGAGGUACUUCAAAUACUCAUUUCGUUUAGUUACUCAAAAACUCCUGAUAUCGACCCUAACGCUAGAACAUUGCUUCAGUGGAAAGACAUGUAUUAUGUAGCCCUAGAUUGAGAAAUGCUUGCAUUGCAAGUGUGGGUGAACGAUUUUACGAUAGGUAGGUUCCAGAUUAUUGUUGUGAGUAGCAUUCGAGAACCAGGCCUAACUUUAAAUGUUGUCAUCAUUGUUUUGGAAGAAAAUAUAAUGUAAACAAUUUGUGGUAUGGUGGUUAAGAAACUAAAGGAUUCAUAAAUUUUGGGUUUGAAACCCAUCUCUAGCAUAUCUAACAUUUCUUUAUAUAAAAUGAAAAGAGCAAAUGAAAAUCGGUCCAAUUGCUCACCCUAGUUGAAAGUUGUCCUCACCUAUACGCGGGCAAUCUAAAAGUCUCUAAGUUUUCGAUUGACUAUUUAAUGAUUUAUUCCUAUUAGUAGAAUGAGGGGAAGUAAUAAGCUUUUAGUCUUAAUUGUAAAUUUCUUUUUUGUUUUGGCAAGUAGAUUGUAAUAUUUGUAUGGAUAUUGGCUAGUGAUUGGUGAAAUGUGGCAGGGCGUGAGCUAUCACUAUACUCAAAAUGUCGAGUGCCCUAUGUUGGUAGUGAAGAGACCCACAUCUAGCAGGAAUAACUAAAACUCGAAUCUGUAAAGUUUGUGCUUGGGAUCUUCCUUGGUUGGGUCCAAAUCCUAGGUUGCCUUUAAGCACUUUGUCAAGUUUCAUUGUAUAUACUCCCACAUUGUCUAGUGUCCUCAUUGUUUCUUACCUAGGCUUUCUGUACAUGCAUAUUCUUCGUCAAUUAUGACUUAUGAAUGGAUUGAUUUUUUGUUAAUAAAACUUUAUUAACACCCAAAUUUUGACGGAUCUACUUAAUCAUUCAUUAAUUACAUAAAAAAUUAUGGAUUAAUUUUUAACCUUUAGAAAAAAUAAUUUUCAUUAAAUUGCAUUGCAUAAAAACAUUAGGAGCAUUUGCAUUACUAGUAUUAAAGUUUAAAAAAAUUUAAGAAUUUUAAUAUUAUAACUUUUAUAAUUAUUUAUAUAUAUAUAAAUAUAUAUAUAUAUAUAUAUAUAUAUAUAUAAAUUUAAAAAAAGUAAGACCCGCCUUCUUUUUUUUACCCUCUUCUUCCUCUUUCCCGUAGCCCGCCCUCUCCCUCGCGCUCUCACGCGUAAAAAGGAAAAAAUAGAAGGCUCGUACGAGCAGAAGGACAAGAGAGCAGAGGGCAAAGCGUCUCACCGGAGUGGGUGGUCGGGUGCAGACCAGCGACGGCAGCUGGUGUCACGGGAGGCCAUGUGCGUCGGUGGCCAUUAAAAGGAAAGAGAGGUAGAGAGAGAGGGGGCAUUUUUACAGAGGAAGGAGACUGAGAGGGAGAGAGGCGCGUAGAGCGAGAGCCGAGAUAGAACGGGGAGCGAGAGUGAGCUGGGCCGACACCGCGGCCACGCACGAACUCCGUCCGAUGACCACGCCCGGUCGAUGUCUUCAAGCCGAACGGGUAAAUCUUUCUUUUUUCCCUCUUUUUUUCUGCCCUGUUUUGGGGCACGCCGGGCCGGAGCUCGCGACCGUCUGGCUCACGCGAACUCCGGCCCCGUCCAUCCCUCCUUCGGUUGUUGUGUGUUUCCUUGUCUGUUUGGCGAGAGUCCCGGUUUUGGUUCGGGUCCCUGGUCGAGUCGGAGACCUCACGAUUCGUGCGCGCCCUUCACCCAUUCGCCGAAAUGCUUCUUCAGUGAGAUCUAGUUUUCAUCCUCCCGUUUUUAGACAAAACCGAGCGUCCUGGAGUUGAUUCGUUCUGUUGAGGCGGGUGUUGUUGAGUUUGCCGUUCCGGGCGUCGGUCGUUUCGCCAUAUUCUCGCCACGGCCGUCAUUGUUUAUGUUUGCGCGUGGCCGAGGGCGCCACGGCCGGCGAUGUCAGGUUCCGGCCUAGGAGUGACGGCCUAGACGGAGGGGUUGUCUUCAGGGUGGCCGUGUUUUUUCUGCUUGGUCCGCGGCCGCUCACGGUGGUCGUCCGCGGAGGCUCCGCAGUUUCUUGCGGAUCGGCGUCCAAGCGGCCCCGUCAUGGUUGUCAUUGGAGCCUCACCGGCCAGACGAAAGCCAAGUGCUCGGCCCCGGGGCGGCUGAGGCGAAGCCUAGAGGCGUCCUUGGCCGGGCGAAGACGGGCGGCGUCGCUCAUCGCGGCCAUCUCCGUCGCGCUGAGACUGCCGCGAGCGUGGGGGAGGAGCUGCGGUUCGGGGGAUGGAAUGAGUACGAAGGAUGGACUCAAGGCUUGGGGUCUUGAUUUUGGUUUGGACUGAAUUGGGGAUUGGGCUUUAGGAUAAACUUAGGUCUUUUUAAGUGGGCUCGGUUUAGCUUUGGAAAGCUUGGGCUUGUUAAUUUAGCUCUUGGGUCGAGCUUGUUUUGUUAGAGUUGGACUUAGCUAAAUGCUGGAGGAAUUGGGCUUAAUUCUAUGAGGUGAGCCCAAUUCGUUUUUUAAUUAAUUAAAGCCUCCUAAUGUGUAAAGCCCAUUUCACGUCCUUGAGCCCAGCUUCGUAUGAACUGAUGCAGCCCAUUUUUGGGACUGCGCCCGAGUCCCUAUUGUCGGAUAAAAAUUUUAAAAUUUUAAAAAUAUAUUUUUUAAAAUAAAAAUUUCGAAUUUUUUUUUUCUGAAAACUAUGGAAAAGCUAAAAAUAAAAAAUAAAAAAUAUCUUUUAAGUAUUUUUUUCUUAAAAUGUGUAAAAAUCCUUAAUAAAAAAUUCGUGUUCAAAAUUGAACAAACUCUUAGGACUUCGCUAUAGGAUUUGGAUGUCCUUAAUGGCAAAUGGUAGGCUAUGAUUUGUGCACUUCCAUUUCCAUGAUCACUUGAUUGCACACUUUUAAAAUGUUGUUUGUUGUUUGCCUUUAGUCUAGUUAGGGGAUGACAAGAUAACAUGACAAUGAUCAAUGAAUGCCAAAAAAUGGUAAAAGUCUAGCAAAAUAAAGUUCAUGAUCGUGUCAAGUGAAGAAUCAUACCUAUGCAUCAUCGUUAGCAUCGGUAGAGUCAGCACUCUCACCCAUUUUAAUUUCAAAAUCAAAGUGACCUCCGGCAUCAUCAUCUUCAAAAAAAGAUGUGCACUUCCUUUUUCCCCUGUCAUAGAUUUGUACAGUUUAAACCAUCCAAAUAAAUAAGAUUAGGAAUUUUUAAAGAAUAGGUAUAGAAGGCUUACAUCUAAAUCUACUGGAUCAUUGGCUUACUAGAAAGGGCAUAAAUCGAAGUCGGAGAAAUAGGAACAAACCAAUGUGAAUAGAACAUCUCUCUCUCUCUCAAUCGAAAUUGCGCCUGUGAAUAGGUACAUUAUAAGUAUUGUCAAAAACCCUAAGCUAUCCAGGGGAAAAUAUGCAACCAUGCAAUACCCAGCAUCACAAGCAUAACCUCCAGAGAUACGAGUAUUGAUUUCCUGUCAACUCACCAAUUUAGUAACUGUUCACAUCCUUGUUUGUCAAUAUAUAUAUAUAUAUAUAUAUAUAUAUAUAUAUAUAUAGACAAUUCAGAUAGCAUUAAAUAAUGAAGCGAUUUGAUCUUAAAACUUCUAUGCUCCUUUCUAAUUACCAAAAAAUAUGAGUUAUAACAGAUCUAGGUUACCUCUUCAUCUCAUUUCUUCUCAGCCUUGUCAGACGCUGCCUUCUCAGCCUGCAAAGAAAAAAUAAAGCCCAUGAAUACUCUAUACUCUUACCAAAUUCAAAAGUAAAACUUACAAGGAGCAAAACCACUUGCAUCCUUGUUCUUGCCCCAUGUUUCUUCAGCAAGCUUCGUGGCAUACUCAGGAUCAUCACAGACCAAGGCAUUAUUGAAUAAGGUUCCAGAUCUGACUUGACAAAUCGAGCGUAGAGUAAACCGAAUUUUGAGCUCCCGGAACAUUGUUAUUAAAUAAAACUGGAUCGGUUACAGAAAAAUUACCUGCCACAGUUCAUUCCAACAUGCUUUAAGAUGGGGAAGCCAUAGAGCUCUGGGUCAUCUUUGAAGUCUAUAAAAAAUACAUAGGAUAGACUUCAAAGAACUUUCAAAUAACAGCAAACAAUAGCAGCGAACAAGAAAAGAAUAACAUUGAUGUACAUCUAAGCUUAAGAAAAGAACUAGUGAUUAAGACCCUGGGUUGUCCAUUAUUGGUGCCUUCCACUUUUCCCUGUAGUUGGGAUUCUUAAUUCUCUGCAAAUAAGCAUGAUCAAGAGAAUCCCUUAAAGCAGUCCAGAACGUAGACUCACAAGUUGCAUACCUUUGGCUUCCAUGGACCCUUUUAUUUAGGGUUGGCAAUGGUCGGGGUAGUCCACUCACCAUCCACCUCAUUGGCCCAGUCUUUGGGCUUAAAUCAUAAUCUUGAUUAGUAACUAAAUAUUGUACAUCAACCUCAUGAAAGCAUGGUUGAUAAUCAGCUUCAAAUCGAAAUCAUCGUUUAGCAGGUUUACCAUCUUGGCAGUGGGAUUUGGUGUCUUUUUUGGGAUGUCAUCAAUCAUAGCCCUGUCAUCACAUCUACAAUAUCCUUUUAAAAGAUUUACAGGAAUACUGCAUUUAAGAAAUCCAACAAAUAGAAGACAAAAUGAUCAUAUAAUCUUCUGGCGUGCGAAACCUAUAUGGGGUGUCGCCACCAAACUCUUUCUGAUCAACCUCCCUACUGAGUAGCUUUAUGUGCCCCNNNNNNNNNNNNNNNNNNNNNNNNNNNNNNNNNNNNNNNNNNNNNNNNNNNNNNNNNNNNNNNNNNNNNNNNNNNNNNNNNNNNNNNNNNNNNNNNNNNNAGAGUCAUGUUUUUGCGCAUGUAUUACAGAGAAUUGGGAAACUAGUCUUUGUCCUUGUUACAGAAUUUAGGGCACUGAGCUGAUAUAGCAUAGAAUGUAUAGUCUUCACUUUUUUGGAUACCUGCAAAUGCAAGGAGGGAUUACUGCUACAGAAUUUGCCAUUAGUCACUCCAAUUUAAGGAAACUUUCCAUCUUCAAUAGGUAAUUGACUCAACUUACCAUGUUGAAUUUGCAAGAUGAAAAAUUCUUAGGUUAAAUCUAAUCUUCCCUUGGGAAGCUCGUCCAAAUCUCCUCUUUGGAUCUUAGCUUUAAUCAACUCUUUGGGAAAAACUACUUCCUUGACCAAAUUCACCAACCUCAUUUACAAUCGGUCAAAUUCCAGCUGAGAUCACUAGCCUCACCUGUCAACUUAUCUAAACCUAUCCUUUAAAAAAUCAGCUGAUCCAACUCCUGAAAACAUUUCUAACCUCAGAAUCUUACUAUCCUAGACUUGCAAUCAAACAACCUAAAUGGCACUUUGUUGCUAAACCUGGUGCUCAGAUUAAAACACUUAAUGGUGUUGGUACUCCCAUUUGAUGAAUUCUCAUCAAUUAUUGAAUCCAAAAUGAAUGCUAGCCUUUCAAACUUGUUUGCUCUCUACUUGGCUUCAAGCAACUUAAGUGAGUUCCGCAUCUUCCUAUUGGACCAAAGUAGGUUGCAAAGGUUGGACCAAUCCCAAAAUAGCAUUUAUGGGCUGCCAUCUCGGUGGUUCUUAAUUGUAAGUAUAGCAAAAUUGGAGUUUUUGAAUCUUUCCAGAAAUUUUGUACAAGUUUCACAGCUUUUAAAUGCCCAAAUCUUAUGACAUUAGACCUUAGUUACAACAAUGUACAAAGCUUACAAUUCCCCCGAAGGCCAAUAAAUUUUAUUGUCUUCAAUAACAAACUAUCCGGAGAAACAUCACCGGCUAUAUUCUAGCUAAGCUCCACUUUAAGUCCAAGAACAAGUUGACCGGCGUUAUCCUGCCAUACUGAGCAAUUUGAGCGAGGCCCUUCUCACCUUGAGUUUGCAUGGCAAUGAUUUUUAAGGAAGAUUUCCUCCAUUACAGACUAAUGAAAGUGCAAUGGGAAUGACAGAUUUGGGUGCUAACCAACUACAAGGGAACUACCAAGGGCAUUAGCCAAUUGUAACAGUCUAGAUUUUCUCAAUUUGGGAAAUAAUCAGAUGGUUGACACCUUCUCUUCAUGAAUAGGCUUGCUUUCUUGUUUGAAGGUGCUCAUUAUGCGUACCAAUAUAUAUUUCUGUAGCCAUGAGGGACUUCAAUGCUCGUUCUCAGUUUCCUAACGUACAAAUUGUCGAUCUAUCCAUGAACAACUUCUUGACUGGCCUCCCAUCUGAAUACUUGAUUGCUGGAGUGACACGAAAGUCAACAAUUCAGAUGAUGCAACUACUAGAGGAACUACGUGCCCCCAUACCUCCCAUUUCCUGAGUUUGAGGGAAUUAUGACUACUCAAUGAUGAUAAUCAACAAAGGCAUUAUAAUAACAAAAGGUUAUUAUCUUUGGAAAUUGUUGGAAAAUAUGGUAACGAUUAGAGUCACAAAGCCCACAGUCUUGACUGUAUAUAGUCAAGGCUCCUCUAUCGCCAACGUGGGACAUUUUUGUCCACGUAACAUUCCCCCAAGUUCCUGUAGACUUGGAUCUAAGACCGCUUCAAGACUUCAUUUUCCAGAGAAUAUUUCUGGGUGAGAGGGGAUGAAUUUUUCUUUUCUAAAUUGAGCAGUUUUGCUUUCAUCUGCAAAAAAUCGAAAUGGAAACAAUUAAUCUUUAUCAUUGAAAAUUAUGCAAGACGUGCAAAUUUUCUGUUUGAUAAAUGAAAAGUGUUUAUUUGAUUGUGAGAGUGGGUUCCAAGGGAAGAAAUAGGAAGAGAACCAAAAUAGCAUUCUUGGCCAGAAAGUAAGGAAUUUGUAAAGAAAAGAGUGUAUCAGCAAUCUAGGAUGUUACGCAUGACGUACCACUUACCUAAAAUUGUCAAUGGUGUUAAGCAUGUUUUUAGUUCCUAAAUCUGUCAUGGAUAACAGCGCUGAGAAGUGGAAUUCUUCUCUUGUAGGGCAAGGUCUUGGCAAGAAAGAUUAUUGGAUUUAUUUCCUCUACGGUGAAUAUGUUGUGGGGAUAGGAGGAGAUUGAAAAUAGAAUGUUCCUUAUGAGCUUUCCCUCUUCCAGAACAUUGCCCGCUAUCCUCUUGUGCUAAGGAAAUGGAAGCCUGAACUGCAAAGUUAGGAGGUCUCCGAUGUGAAAACAGUUGUUGGGUUAAGCUACAGAGCGUUCCUAUGUAUCUUCUGACAUGGGAGGGUGGUCUUGAGGGUUUCUUCAAGGGUGAGAAAGGACUAAGGCAGGUUGAUCCUUUAUUGCAUGUUUUUUUAUGGUGAUGGAGGUUUUCCCAAAACUGUUCAAUAAUGCUGCAAGUCAUGGCAAAUCAAAAUACCAUUCUCAGCGCUCUAAGAUGAAACUUGCCGAAAAGGGGAUAUGAAUUCUUUGAACGAAGUAGUGGCCUUGUUUCAGAGACUUAAGCACACGUCAGGUCUUAGUCUUAAUCCCCUAAAGACCGGGAAAUAAAUCUAGCUGGUAUUAAGCGGCAGCUAGUGGAUGACAUACAUCUCUUGGUGACUUUAAAAAGGGCCAAGUGCCAGUUAGAUACCUUGGCCUUCCUCUGAUUUUAGGAAGGUUAAGUGAUCCAGUGUAAGCCUUUGGUGGAUAAGAUUACUUUUUGAAUGAGUUCUUGGACAAUUAGGCAUCCGAAAGAUUGCAACUCAUUAAGGAAGUGACAGCUUGGUGAAUCUUUGGAGUCAAUUUUUUUUUUUGCCAAAAAUGUUAUCAAUAUGAUGGAAAGCAAGUGUAUUGCCUCCCUUUGGAAGGGAAAAUCUGAAAGCGCUCGAGGUUCAAAAGUUUCUUGGAUGAUGCAUGUCUCCCCAAGUUUAAGGGUGGUUUAGGAUUUGAGGAAACUGGGGCCUUGCAACUUUGCUUGUCGAUUGAAGAACUUACGGAGAUUUUGUUGCUGGCUGGAUCCUAUGGGCCCUUGAACAUUGCCCACUGUCCAUUUGGGUGACAUGACAAAAUUUCUUCAGCAUAAAUUAAUUUCUCAAUUUCUAUUCCCUAAAUAAAUUUUUGAGUAAAGAAACGGGUUUAUCAACGAUUCAAAAUUUUUGUUUUUAGAAUAGAAAUUCAUUUGAUAACAAAAUAAAAUUUCUAUUUCUAGGAGAGGCAACGGCGGGCAUCCGUGGUCCGAUGAUGGGCGUCCAACGAUGGGUGGCUGACGUUCGGCAUCAGGCGGCGGGCGACCGGCGGCCGGCAAUGGGUGAGCAGCGAGUAGUAAUAGGAGUGAAUGAUAAAAAGAGUGUUCAUUUCUUACUUUUGUUCCAAAAAUAGAAAAAAAAAUAGAAAAAAAUAGAAAAGCUAAUAAUUUUAGGACGCAUUUGGUAACGAUUCUGUUCCUGGGAACAAAUUCUGAUUUGAAAUGAUUUUUUUUUUAUUUUAUUCCUGAAAACUGAUUCUGAGUAAAAGAAAAUGCGUUUGGUAACUAUACAAAAUUUCUGAUUCUAGAGUAGAAUUGCAUUUGGUACCGUGCUAAUUGAUUCUAUUCCAAAUCAUUUUUUUUAUUUUUUAUUUUUUAUUUUUUUUUAUUUUUUUCUUUUCUCUUUUUUCCUUUUUUUUUCUUUUCUUUCUUUUCUUUUUUUCCUUUUUUUUUCUUUUCUUUUUUUUAAAUUUUUUUUCGCCUAUUCUUCUUCUUCUUCAAGCCGGUCGCCAGACCGGCGACCGACUAGAUGAGGGCUAGCGACCUCAUUAGAGUGUUGCCAGCCCUCAACAAGGCCGGCCCUCGUCGGCCGAGCCUCGCCGAUAGCUGAGUGAGGCUCGACUCGCCAGAUCCAGCAAGGCCGAGCCUUGCCGAUGGCCAGGCCGGCCUCGCCGGGGCUGUGCGAGGUCGACCUAGCCACCGACGGGGCUGGACAAGCCUCGCCGGUGGCCAGGCGAGCCUCGUCAAGGCUAGGCGAGGCCUGCCUAGCCACCGACAGGGCUGGGUGUCGUGAGGCUCACCCACCUACCGGCUAGGCACGGCCUCACCGGUGGCCAAGUCGGCGACUUGUGCAAGCUCACUGAUGGUUGGGUGAGACUUUGGCGAGCUCGCCAGACCUCGCCGGUGGCUGGGCGCGCUCGCUGGACCUCAUCGAUGGCUGGGCGCACUCGCCGGACCAGUUGCCGGUGAUUGGCGGUAGCGACCGGCGACAGCAGGCGACGGUGGGCGGCGGUCGCAAGAUGGCGGUCGAUGAAGAAGAAGAAGAUUUUUGAUUUUCAAUUUGUUCCUGGAACAAGAAUCAACUUUUUUUUUUUUUAUUCUUGAUUCUCCUCCAAAUCUGUUCCUAGGAACAAAAAUUUUACCAAAUGCAAUUCUGUUCCAAAACUACUCCCAGGAACAAAAAAUCAGAAUCUAGCACUGUUGGGAUGGUUACCAAACAGGCUCUUAACUUCUGAUUUUGCUCCAAAUCUAUUUAUAGAAUAGAAAUUUGUUUAAAAAAAAUGAUAUUGCGUUACUAAAUGAAUUUUUGUUCAAACAUGUUAUGAGGAUCACAAAAAUAAAAAUAAACAUAAACAUAAAUUUUGUCAUGGACAUCUUUAAAGGGCAAUCUAACUGGGCAAUAAGUCCAACUAGCGAGAGCAGCUAUGCUUGUAAAAUAGUAUAUAAUGUAUAGUUUCUUUUAAAAUUAAUUUUAAAAUUCGACGGAAAACCCAGUAAUUAAUUAAUUAAUUGUAAUUUGCACUGCAAAGCAUAGCUUGAGUGGUCACUUUUCUUCAUGUCCCAUAUAAAACUCGACCUCUCUUACGACUUGGUGUUGAGAAGACUUUUUUAGAUAUGCUAAUUGUCAUGUCUUGCACAUAAUGGAUGACGACUGGAAAAAUGGGAAGUCAAGAUUUUCAAAUUAUGAUAGGGGUAAUCUAUUCUUAACUUUUCAUCACCAAUAUAAAAAGAUUACUAGAAGCUCGCUAGACUAGAUCUUUGCUAGAAAUGCAUAUCCUCUUAGAUUGCGAAUGAAAAUUAUUUUAUUUCUUUUUAUUUCUUUUUUUUUUCUGUUAUUUAGAAUAGGUUUGGAAUAGAAAUUCGUUUGAUAAUGCAAUUUCAUUUUUCUAUUUUCAAAACAAAUUUUUAGCUAAGAAAUAGAUUUUGAAUAAAAAUGAGAAAAGUAGAAAUUUUCUACUUUUCUAUUUUUGGAACAGAAAUAGAAAUAAAAACUCUUUUCAUUACUUGUCAUUACCAUCCUCUGCUAGCAAAUGGUCGUCGCCCUCCACCCAUUGCCCACCCGCCACCCGCCAGCCACCAAUCACCACCCUUCACCAACCACUCCAACCACUGCUAAGAAAUUUUAAGGCUAUCAAACGAAUUUCUAUUUUAGGAAUAUAAAUUCUGUCACAUUAUCAAACGUAUAUCUUUGUUCAAAAACUCACCUAAGAUAUAGAAAAAGAAAAAAAAAAUAUUUUUGAUAAGAUAUUAUUCUUAAGAACGGAAUGAUUAUUGUUUACGCCUUUAUUAAACUUGAAUUUAACCGUGAACAAGUCAUAACACAGUCAAAUCCAAAUGGGUUUCAUAGGUAGAAAGACAAAAAAGUUGAAAGGUUAACGUCCCCAAGACAUGUCGGUGGGCGCUUAGGCAAAAUUUUGAAAAACAAAACCGAGGCAAUUUUCGCUGAGCAAACCACAAAUGCAGUUGAUUACUUCGUCUCAAUUGCUCUCAGCUCACUUGUGACAUGGCCUUUGGACGAUGACCACAUAUGUCUCACGUAAGGGUGAGCAUCGAUCUAAGGUCAACCCUGGACCAACCUUGGAUCGGCCCAACUCUACCGGUCCUAGUCCAGUUCCUAGGAAGAUCAAGUCGAUCAUUGGUCCUGGGAUUCCUAGACCAAUACUGUACGGGUUGAUCCUCGAUUCUGAAAGUUUAGAUAUAUAUAUCUAAUAUAUUAUUUAUAAUUUUUUAUAUAGAGAAAAUCCUAAAAUAAACGGCGCCAACAGCAUUAAAUAGCUCCUUAGUAUGGAGUUGAAUAAUUUUACACUAUUUUUUAAUAACUUAGAUCUUUUAAUGUCUUUUACGGCGUCAAAAGUCAUAAUUUACAAAGAAGAAAUAUGUUUUUAUGAGGAGUCCUCAGGGUGUUCAAAAGAGCAUAAAUAACUCCUCACGGCAUCCUCAUCUAAUACUCGUUUUCUUCUAUCCUAUUUGUUAUCUUAGUCUUUAAUUUGCCAAAAUCAAAAGAAAUAACUUUUAUGCUCGCCACUUAACACUAGCCUCUCACUUGCUUUGGGUCACUCCUGCCGCUCGCCGCUCAAUGCUUGCCUAGCUUGUUGCUCCCUGCUCGAUGCUCGAUGCUCACCCCACUCGAUACUCGUCACUCGCCUCUCUUAGCUAACCUCGCUUGUCAUUGAACCUAUAAGGUCAGUCCAGUUCUCACUCACUUUUUCAAGGAAUACAAAAAUGAAACAAAAAAUUAUUAAUUGAUCCUGAGUUGAUUAUAGAAUUGGACCAAACCCAUUAGGUCGAUCUGGUCCUUGAUUGCCUUUUUAGAUAGUACAAAAAAUGAAAUAAAUAAAUUAUCGGUUGAUCCCGAGUUAAUCUUGGAACUGGACCGAACCCACUGGGUUGGUUUGAUUCUUGGUCCCAAGCUCAAUAGGAUCGGUCCUCGGUCCUCGAUUCAAAAAAUUGAUAACCAGUACUAUGUGGGUUGGUCCUAGAGUAAGGGGGUGGGCCAACCCAAUCCAAACCAUGCUCACCCCUCUUCACGUUCCACGUUCCGACCCAUGGACAGUGCCCUUUUUAUUAUUUUCCUUUGUUUUCUUGCUUUUUUUUCUUUUUCUUUUUUUUUUACUUCCUUUUUGACAAAUCCUUUAUAGAGGAUCAAAAUCCAAUUUGUCAUCAGCGUAAUCUAGAGGAGAGUUUCCCAUGUCAAAAGGUGGAAACCACAUUUUCUUGAAAACGUCGUCCGCCCUUCUUCUCCCUUCCCAUCACCAUCUUCAUCGUACACCACUGAAAAUUAGUCCACGAAAUGCAUAAGAAAUAGCAUCGCGAAGAUUUCGUAGAGGUAAAAUCGACAUUAGAAUCAGAAAAAGGAGCCAAAUGCUAAUGUUCCCACAAAUAUGAGAGCUCGCCAUUAGGGAUGGGCAUUGGGGCGAGUCCAAUCCCUAGCCGGCUAACUAGGAACCUGGGCCAUCCCUGUCCUGUUCCCCACGCGGGGCAGGGUGGUCGCCGGCAGUUCUUUGAAAGGGCGGCAGAGAGUAAGAUGGAGAGAGAGAGAGAGUGUAUUAACACAAUACCAACAAUUUUGCUUUAAUUCCCACUAGUAUCCGUGUAUUAAAUCAGAGCGGGAGGUACACUCAAGUCAACGCUCAGCGAGCCAAACCGACAUUGUCCUUAACAUUGUUCGUAGCGAGCCAAAUCGACGAGAACUGACGCUCAGAGCUUAAUGGAUAAUUAGGAUACGUUUGGUAACGUUUUUUGUUUAAAAAUUGUUCCAAUGAACAAAAAUAGAAAAAACCAUUUCUCUUCCGGGGAAUAAUUUUUUAACAAAAGAACGUGUUUGAUAAAUUUGUUCCUGGAAUAGAAAAAGAACAUGAACACGUUUGGUAAACUUGUAUGAUUUUUUUGUUUCCUUUAAUUUUUUAAUAUUUUUAUUUUAUUUUUAUUUUUUUCUUUUCCUUUUUUUCUUUUUUUUUUCCCUUCCUUUUGGUCGGUCGCCGGCCUCAACCAUGGCCGACGACUGGCCGACAAGGGCCGGUGGCCUUGCCCAGCCAUGGCGAGGAUCGCCAGCCCUCGGCGAGGCCGAGCCUUGCUAUGGCUAGGCGAGGCUCGGCCUCACCUUGACUGGGCGAGCUCGAGCUUGCCCAGAUUCAGGGAGGCCGAGCUCACCCAGCCACUAGCGAGGCUCAGCCUCGCUCGGCCAUUGCCAGGUGAUGCCUACCUGGCUGUGGCCCGGCGACGUUGGGUGAGCUCGCCUAGAUUCGGUGAGGCCGAGCCUCACCAGCCGCGCGAGGUCGGCCUCGCCUUGGCUAGGCAAGCUCGAGCUCGCCCAGAUUCGGUGAGGCCAAGCUUCGCCAGUGGUUAGGCGAGCUUGAGGUCGCCGGCCCUCACUAGCUCUUGACAGGCGGUCGCCAACCAUGGUCGAUGGCGGCGACCGGUCCACUGAAUAAGAAGAGGAAGAGAAAGAGGNNNNNNNNNNNNNNNNNNNNNNNNNNNNNNNNNNNNNNNNNNNNNNNNNNNNNNNNNNNNNNNNNNNNNNNNNNNNNNNNNNNNNNNNNNNNNNNNNNNNNNNNNNNNNNNNNNNNNNNNNNNNNNNNNNNNNNNNNNNNNNNNNNNNNNNNNNNNNNNNNNNNNNNNNNNNNNNNNNNNNNNNNNNNNNNNNNNNNNNNNNNNNNNNNNNNNNNNNNNNNNNNNNNNNNNNNNNNNNNNNNNNNNNNNNNNNNNNNNNNNNNNNNNNNNNNNNNNNNNNNNNNNNNNNNNNNNNNNNNNNNNNNNNNNNNNNNNNNNNNNNNNNNNNNNNNNNNNNNNNNNNNNNNNNNNNNNNNNNNNNNNNNNNNNNNNNNNNNNNNNNNNNNNNNNNNNNNNNNNNNNNNNNNNNNNNNNNNNNNNNNNNNNNNNNNNNNNNNNNNNNNNNNNNNNNNNNNNNNNNNNNNNNNNNNNNNNNNNNNNNNNNNNNNNNNNNNNNNNNNNNNNNNNNNNNNNNNNNNNNNNNNNNNNNNNNNNNNNNNNNNNNNNNNNNNNNNNNNNNNNNNNNNNNNNNNNNNNNNNNNNNNNNNNNNNNNNNNNNNNNNNNNNNNNNNNNNNNNNNNNNNNNNNNNNNNNNNNNNNNNNNNNNNNNNNNNNNNNNNNNNNNNNNNNNNNNNNNNNNNNNNNNNNNNNNNNNNNNNNNNNNNNNNNNNNNNNNNNNNNNNNNNNNNNNNNNNNNNNNNNNNNNNNNNNNNNNNNNNNNNNNNNNNNNNNNNNNNNNNNNNNNNNNNNNNNNNNNNNNNNNNNNNNNNNNNNNNNNNNNNNNNNNNNNNNNNNNNNNNNNNNNNNNNNNNNNNNNNNNNNNNNNNNNNNNNNNNNNNNNNNNNNNNNNNNNNNNNNNNNNNNNNNNNNNNNNNNNNNNNNNNNNNNNNNNNNNNNNNNNNNNNNNNNNNNNNNNNNNNNNNNNNNNNNNNNNNNNNNNNNNNNNNNNNNNNNNNNNNNNNNNNNNNNNNNNNNNNNNNNNNNNNNNNNNNNNNNNNNNNNNNNNNNNNNNNNNNNNNNNNNNNNNNNNNNNNNNNNNNNNNNNNNNNNNNNNNNNNNNNNNNNNNNNNNNNNNNNNNNNNNNNNNNNNNNNNNNNNNNNNNNNNNNNNNNNNNNNNNNNNNNNNNNNNNNNNNNNNNNNNNNNNNNNNNNNNNNNNNNNNNNNNNNNNNNNNNNNNNNNNNNNNNNNNNNNNNNNNNNNNNNNNNNNNNNNNNNNNNNNNNNNNNNNNNNNNNNNNNNNNNNNNNNNNNNNNNNNNNNNNNNNNNNNNNNNNNNNNNNNNNNNNNNNNNNNNNNNNNNNNNNNNNNNNNNNNNNNNNNNNNNNNNNNNNNNNNNNNNNNNNNNNNNNNNNNNNNNNNNNNNNNNNNNNNNNNNNNNNNNNNNNNNNNNNNNNNNNNNNNNNNNNNNNNNNNNNNNNNNNNNNNNNNNNNNNNNNNNNNNNNNNNNNNNNNNNNNNNNNNNNNNNNNNNNNNNNNNNNNNNNNNNNNNNNNNNNNNNNNNNNNNNNNNNNNNNNNNNNNNNNNNNNNNNNNNNNNNNNNNNNNNNNNNNNNNNNNNNNNNNNNNNNNNNNNNNNNNNNNNNNNNNNNNNNNNNNNNNNNNNNNNNNNNNNNNNNNNNNNNNNNNNNNNNNNNNNNNNNNNNNNNNAAAAAAGAGAUAUAAAGAUAAAAAAAAGAAAAUAUAGAAAAAAAUAAGAAAGAAAAAAAAUAGAACGUGAUUAAGGAAAUAUGAAGAUAGAGGAACAUUGGUAAUAAAAACAAGCAGAUAGACAACCAAGUCGGAGGCAGACAGCCGACCAAAGAAAAAGAAAGAAGAAAAGAAAGAGAAGAAAAAAAAUAGGAGAGAGAAAAUUUGUUUAUCAGAAGUGUUCCAAGAACAAGAAACAAAGUUUUUUUAGUUUCUAGUUUUUGUUCCAAAAUUUGUUCCCGGGAGCAAAAAAUAGAUUUGGAACAAAAACGCAAACAAACACGUUUCUAUUCAUUUUUUAACUAGAGGGCCGUUUGAGGAACUAAAGAAUCGACCAAUCAGGAUGAGUUCGAAGAGAAUAGCCUGGUUGUCUUCGACGAACUCAAGCGAUGCAGGCUUGAGGUCGUCCUCAAUGGUGCUAUAGUCGGACUUGGUGGACUCGACGGGCUUCUUGCAAUACUUGAUUGACAUUGAAGUACGAUUGCAAUCAGGGUUUUGCGAUCGCAAUCUGAGGAACCACUGUCACCACCAGGAAUGCACACCAAUAGGAGAGACAAGGACACAUUGUGGUCGACAAGGAAGAUCACCCUUGGGAGCUUCAGCAGUGAUCCAUUCGAGGUCAACGAGGCUGUGGCCGAUGAGUCACAGACGAUCAAGCACAUAUGCUCCCCCUCUUUAUUCACAAUUGUGGCUGAUGUUUUAUCCCAUAGUCUCUCCAAUGUUCUAUAAGAGGGAUGCCUUUAGGGAAUUAAGCUAAAAAGGAGGAUCCUAAACCCCCCUUCUCCUCACAUAUGACUCCCUAUUCUUUCUUGUUGCUAACCCAGUUUGAACUGCAGACGUUCAAAAAAGAUUCUUGACCAUAUGGUACUGCUCAAGCCAGAGGGUCGUGUUGCAAAAAUCCUGUAUAUGCUUCAGUCCUAACACUGGGGCAAAGUUGAGAACAAAGGUAAGCACAGUCCAGGGAAUCAAUGCUACUCAAGACCCUGGUAACCAUUUGGGUCUACCUAUUCUAUGGGGUAGCUCUAAACAUAAAGCUCUUGACAUUGUUAAGGAUAGUCUUUGAAAAGAAUGCCAAGCUGGAAAACUAAAUUAUUGUCACAAGCUGGUUGGGAGAUUGAGGUAAAACCAGUGGCUUAUGCAGUACCAACUUAUUUUGUUGUCGUGUUUCAAGUUUCCAAAGAUGUGGCAUGAGGACGUUUAUGCAGCUAUAGCCGAUUAUUGGAGGGGUCCGCAGAAUAAUGAAGGGAAAGUGCAUUGGAAGAGUAGGGAAAGCUUAACUGAAGCAAAGUUAGAAUGAGGCUUGGGUUUUAGUAGUUUAUCACAGUUCAACAUAACCCUCCUUGCUGAGCUUGCUUGGAGAAUCCAAAGCAACCCCUCAGAAUUCUGGGUGCAAAUAUUUCAAGGGCUCUACUUUCCCCUUUGUAGCUUCGUGGAAGUUAGAAGAGGUGGCAGAACGUCUUAGGGACGAAGUAGAGUUUUGGAGGGAGAGGUCUAAUUAAGGAAGGUGGGUUAUGAUAAAUUGCUGAUGGGAAGUCGGUCAAAGUUUGGGAGGAUAGGUUGGUGAAGGAGAGUUGAGACCUGAUGUUGCAUCCUCUAAUCUGACCCAGGUGAAAAAGUAAUUAAGACUGGAGUCUCUAAUUGGUGCAGAUACUAGGAUUUGGAACUUGACUCUCCUUAAGGACAGCAUACGGUAGGAGGAGCAAUGAUCGGUGUUGAGAAAUCACAUAAGGUGGAGAAGUUCUGAUGACCAACGAUUUGGCCCCGGAACGGGAGUGGUGGCUCUAUAGUAAAGUCUCUACCACUUUACCAUGCAAAAUAGAAAGAAACAUCUAAGCCUAGACCCUCAAGCUCUCCUACUAUUGAUGGUAUAGUUUGGAAAUUAGUAACAGGCAUUGACUCUCCUCCCAUGAUAGGAGACUUCCAUUGGCAACUUUGCUCGAAUGUUAUGCCUGCUGCUGCUAAUCUGUGCAAACAAAAAGAAUAAAGUUUCUCCUGCUUGUAUGUUCUGUUUUGAGAUUAUAUCUAUAGAGCAUUUAAUACUCAAUUGCUUUAAUUUGAAAAUCCAAAAAACGAAGUGAUUCAUAUAGGUAUUUUUAAAUGAAAAGUCAACGCAACUCAUUUCAAAUACAAAAUGGUGUUUCUAUACAAAGUUGUCUCCAAGUAAAAUUUAGAAGAAGAGAAAUAUUUCUCAAAGAAGAGUGGAUGGUAAGCGAGAUGGAAACUUUCCUGAUUUUCACCUUGAAGAGUGAUAAUCCGAUCAUUGACACCUCUCCUUUAUGGAUUGGCUUGUUUUCUAAUUUGAAGGUGCUCAUUUUCAAUGCCAGUAGAUUUCAUGGAGCCAUGAAAGAGCCCGAAGCUCAUUGCCAAUUUCCUACAUAUCUUCAGUAGGUCAUAUAGUAACUCUCAAUAUUCAUAGCAAUUUCUCUAGACUUUUCUAUACAAGUCAACUUACCUUUAUCAACUUAGUGGUGAGAAUACACAAGAUUUUAUGUCUUGGACAUAUUGCAUCCGUUGUGAGUGUUAGAUAGGCUAUGGUAUUAUUGAAUUGAUUUGUGCCAUUUGAUACACAAGUUUUCACUUGAGGUCUUCUCAUUCAUUUAAGAAAAUAUGACAUCAAAUUCGAUAAAUUUUGACCCCUCAAACAAAAAAAUUGAUCUUGCACGGUAUUGCUUUUGCAAUUCUUCACAUUUAAAUAUUAAAGACAUUUAAAUUUUGGGUAUAAAGUAUUCGCAUCAAACAAAGCAUAGAUCAACAUUUCUUUAAGAUUGGCUUGAUGGAUAGUCUAAUAUGCGAAAUAUGAGUCCCAACUCCCUUGAGGUUCCAAAAUCAAGCCUGCGCGAGCCUAGCCCUAAGCUAAUCAAACUCGGCCUAAAUGGAAAGGCAACGCGGUCAUUCAAGGACAACAAGGGAAAUUCAAAUCGGCCAACACCCAUCGUCGAGGGAGGGGCAUGUAAAGGUCACUAGUUUGGGAACUUUAUAAGAGUAGCUGUUGUCAAGAGCCACCCUCUUCAAAGGAAACUCAUUUUGUGAGGAAUACUCGCACAUUUGAUGGACAAGGAUCAAUUGGCAGCUGAUUGUUGUUUCCAAAAUACUUGACCAGAAUUCCCUGAACAAUUUAGUAACUGCGUGAUACUGUUUAUCCUGACAUUUCUUCAUAAUAUUCAACCACCAAAUCCAAGUACCUAACAAUACUGCGGAAGAGGAAGACCAAGUUUUCUCAUUUUCACACCUACAACAACCAAAGAUAGUUACAAUUAAUUUUUCUUGCACCAGAUCAAAAUGCAAGCUUCGAAUUCCCCUCUUUUAAAUUUAGAUUGCCAAUGUUAAUUAUAUUCCAAGCGACAAACCUUCCACGUAUUGGGAUUACAUGUAUCGCACAUUCGCAUGUUCACAUUCAUGGAUAAUGACCGGUAUCUACUCAUUCAUUUCAAUUUAAAGCAAAAAAAAAAAAAACUAUAACUACAAAACAAUAGCAUAACCGCAUAUUUUACUAGAUCAACAAUAAUUAUUUAGAGUCAAUAAACAAAUCGAAUAGUUUGAUGUAUAUCGAAUAUUUACAUGGUGUUGUCAACAUUUAGAUUUCUUUAAACACCUUUAAGAAGCUAUACAAACCCAUACUGAGUCUCACUGUAAAACACAAGUUAUAGUAUAAUAAUUACAUUGAGAUUGAUUUUCUCUAUCACAUAAAUGGAUUUUAUACAAUAUUAAUCCAAAAAUUCGCAAUGCAGCGAAGCAAAGCAAAGAUGAUGGAAGACCGACUUGCUUUCCCUCGCCAGUCUUUUCCUUUUGACUUUUUCAUUUGAGUAGCUUUUGUCGGUCUUUGCCUUGUCUCUGUCUUUGGUUGGGAGAAAAGAAUGGGAAAAUGCAAGGAAGCAAGCAAAGGUGAUAGAAGACUUUGACUUGCUUUCCCUCACCUCACGCCGGGAAGUAGAUUGCCUAACAACCAUGACUUGAGAGGUGCGUGCGUCCCAAGUAAUUAAUUUAAAUAUGAGUAUUCAUCGCCUCCUCUCCUGACCUAUGCGAUAAGUAACUUUGAAUUAGAAAAGGUAAUUUUCUGCCUGUCUAUGGUUAGUAAAUCUCAAUGUUGAUAGUCAUAGUUCAUUCAACAAAGUAAGUUUAUAUACCAACUUUUAACAUAGAAAAAGGUAACACAAUUUCAUAUGGUUAGUAACUCAUUAAUCUGACUUGUAAUAUAUAUACAUAAUUAGUUUUUCUUAUAUACAUUGAUGUAACUUUCCCCACAUCUGUGUGUCAGUAACUUUUCACAAGAUUGCAGUGAAAUUUUUGGAGAUGCAAGUGACAUCCAGGCUAGAGUUGAUGACUUUGCACUAAAUUUUGUUUUAAUCCAUUCGUGAUAAAAGCAUCAAUAAUACUAAGAUCAUUAAUUUACUACUCUCCAUCCAAUCAUUUUAGUAUAUCUACAUCCAAGCAAACGGAAAUCUAUUUUCCACCUUUUAAAUGGAAACAAGUAAAGUUAUUAUCGAGAUUUAUAUUUACUGAAAUCGCUGGUCCUUGAACUUUUAUUUGAAUGUGUCCAUGUCAUAUCUAAUCAAACAAUCGAUUCAAUUACAUCCUAAAAUAUUUGUCUAAUGUGCGCCUUGAUCUUAUCUCUUAAUUGAUUCUUUUCCUGACCUUUUUAAAAAUAUUCAAUAUCGUCUCAUUUUAGUAAUUAGAAGGACAAAUCCGUACAAUGUCCCCUUCUAGUCUUUUGCUCGUCAAGAACAAAUGGUUUGUUCUUUACUUUCUACAAGCUUUAGCUACUAAUGUUGAGCCGGUUCCUAACACUUCCAACAUGUGAGAAAUGGUAGUUAGACAUUAUUUAGUAGGAUACAUUUUCAGUUCCGAGGAUGAAGUUUUGGAAAGCUACCGAGAGGAACAAUAUAUUAGCCCAUACACUUCUAUGCUUUCAUCCGACUUAUCUUCUGUAUAAAAAAGCAAUAAAGUAAUUAUACAAAAAUAGUAUAAUUAGUAACUCAUUUUAUAUAUAAAAAAAAAAAUGCAUCUACCUAUUGGUAACUAGUAAUUUUUCUAUGCAAUAAAUAAUUAUGGAAUAAAAAAAAAGUAAUUUUCUGCCGAUUGUUAGUAAGUCGUACUGUUCAAAGUAAUUUCUCUAGACUUUCCUAUACACAUCAACUUAUGUUCAUUAUCUUAUUGGACUACAUAAGAUUUUCUAUAGUGGACACUUUACAUUUGGUGUGAGUGUUAUGCCACUGUUAAACUAGAUUGUACCAAUAUUUUUUUUUUUGGUCAGAAGAUUGUACCAAUUGACACCUAAAUUUUUGUUAGAAGACUUCCAUUCUUUUAAUAAGAAAAUUGGAGAUUGAAUUCGACAGAGUUUGACCCCUAAACAAAAAUGUUGAUCUUGCCUGGUCAUGCAUUCAUAAUUCUCACUUCGUUCUUCGCAUUUAGAUAUCAGGGACAUUUAAAUUUUGGGCAUGAAGUAUUCACAUCGAGCAAAGCAUGAUUCAAUCUGUGAGUUUUCUUGGGAGUGGCCCAAUAGAUGGCUCCAUAUGCAAAAGUAAUUACUGAACUCACUCGAGGUGCCAAAAUUAAGUCCGCUUGAGUCCAGUAACUCCAGCCCCUAAGCUGUAAUCGAACUUGGCUGAAUGGAGGGAAAGGAAGCGCGGCCAUUCAAGGGCAGCUAGUGAAAUUACAAUUGGCCAAUACAAUUUUCGAGGCCAAUUCCAGUCUGAACAUAUAAGAUGGAAGGUCUUGUUCAGUUGCUGCAUGCGUCCAAAUGGAAGAAAAGGCAAAGGAGAAUCAAAAGAAGGAAAGGGGCGUGUAGUUUCCAUCUUGACGAUGGGAGCAAUCUCGGCAUUCACAGACCUGAAUUCACAGCCAAAAAAAAAAAACCAAGAAAAUCUUGGCAUAGGAAAGCAGAGGAUUCUCGGCCAAGUGGUGCAGCGAUUUUCAGCAUUUGAUCAUUUCCAAAGAUAGCUUGAAAAGGAAAAGGGUGGUGCUUUUUCUGCACGGCCAAGAAAGAGAAACACGAAGAGAGGGUUUCGGUCAACAGAAGAGAGAAUACUAAAAGGAAAGAAAGAACAAAGAAGUGGUCGGCAAAAGAAAAGAAAUAUAAGAACAGAGAGCAAAAGGUUUCCCGUUUAAUUUCCUCGAAAUUCACUUUUCCUCUGCACUUCAAUAUCCAAGAAUUUUACUCCUUACAGUCAAAUUUCUCCAUCAUUUCAUUUUAAAGCCCGGCGCACCUUGCACUUGGAAAAAGCCAAAAAUGAAAUCAUUUUAGCACUGUUUUGAAGUUGAUCAAUUCUUGUUCAAGUUAGAACUGUAGUGUGAUAACAUAUUUUAUCUAAAGAAGGGGCCUGUAAAGGUGACCGAUUUGGGAACUUUUUAAGAGUCAUUGUUGUCAAGAGCCACCCUCUUUAAAGGAAACUCAUUUUAUGAAGAAUACUUAGCACAUUUGAUGGACAGGGAUUACUUAGCAUCUAACUGUCGUUUCCAAAAUACUUUAUCAGAGUUUCCUGAACAAUUUCGUGACUGCGUGAUAUUGUUUAUCCAGACUCUUCUUCAUAACAUUCAACCAUCAAAUUCGUUAAAAACAACUGAUUGUUCUUUCCUAUUUCCAAGUUUUAGGUACUCUUGUUGAUAUAGUUCCCGACACUUCUAACAUAUGAGAGAAAUGGUUGUUAUAUAUAAUUUUGUAGGUCACAUUUUCAGUUCCAAGGAUCCAGCUUUGGACAGUUAUCUAGAGGAACAUUAUAUUGGUCCAUACUCUACUAUGCUUUCAUGCAUUUUAAUUUUUGGUAUAAAAAAGCAAUAAAAUAAUUAUACAAAAUUAGUAUGAUUAGUAACUCCUUUUACACUGAAAAAGCAUCUAUCUAUCAGUAACAAAUAAUUUUUCCAUCCGCGAAAUUAUGAUAAAAUAAGAAAAAAUAAUUUUCUGCCUAUCUAUUGUUAAUAAUUCUCAAUGUUCAUAGUAAUUUCCCUAGACCGAGCUCGUGCUAGCCCGGUCCCAAGCAAUUCAAACUCGGCCUAAUGAAGGGAAAGGAAGCGCGGCCAUUCAAGAACAGGGACGAAAGUCCAAAUCAGCCCUCACUAGGGGUGAGCAUGGUCCGGGUUGGUCCGGGCCACCCCCUAACCCUAGGACCAACCCGUACAGUGUCGGUCCUCAAUUUUUAGGACCAAGGACCGACCCUAUUGAGCCUGGGACCAAGGACCGGACCGACCCAAUGGGUUCGGUCCGGUUCCAGGGUCAAUCCGGGACCGAUCGAUAAUUUUUUUCGUCUUAUUUUUUAUACUUCCUAAAAAAGCAAACCUAAAAAUUCAAAUUACGCAUCCAUGAUCCAUCAACAAUACGAUAUUGUGCAACUAAAUUAUAAAAUACCAAUACAUAUUUAGCAAAUUUAAGAUGACACAAUAAUAGAAAUUUCAUAUCCGCUAACCGCUCAUCGAGAUAUGGGACAAGAUGGAAAGUUCUUGUAAUCAUCUAUCUUUAAUAUUUAUAACACCAUAUGCAAAAGCGUUUUCCUGAUCAUGUAGAGUUUACUCAACCAAAAAAUGAGCUUUGCACCACUUGACUAGCAUUUGAUCAUGUAGAGUUUACUCAACCAAAAAAUGAGCUUCACACCACUUGACUAACAAAUCACCGUAGCAACUGCAGUACUACUCUACUCUUCAAAAACUUCUACCAUUUAACACAAAUUGAAAAGCAAUUAAAUCAUAAAAUUUUUAAAAUACUUAAUAUAAACCAUGAAUAUAUAACUUCACAUCUUGUUAAUUCACUUGAACUUCUAAACACUUGAAAACAAAACAAACGACACAUAAUUAAUACUUAACAAAAGUUUUAAAUUGAAAUUACUAUUAGUGCUAUUGAUAGAACAUCUCAAUAUAAUAUAAUAUAAUAGACAUUUUACUUAGGUUUGAAUAUAUAAAAGAAUUAUAAAUAAUAUAAUAUAAUAUACAGGGUUGGUCCAGGGUUGGACCGACCAAAAACUCUUAGGACCGAGGACUAACCCGCACAGUGUUGGUCCUGGAAUUUCAGGACCAAGGACCGACCCAGUCCCCUUGGGAACCGGACCAGGACCGGCAGGGUUGGGCCGGUCCAGGGUCGGUCCAGGGUCGACCCUAAACCGCUGCUCACCCCUAGCCCUCACCCAUUCUCAAAGCCAAUUCCAAUCUGAACACAUAAGAUGGAAGGUCUUGUUCAGCUGCACACGUCGAAAUUGGAAAGGAGAAUCAAAGACGGAAGGGAGCGUGCAGUUUCCCUUUCGACGAAAGGAGCAAUCUCGGCAAUUAGGGACCGGAAUUCACGGCCAAAAGAAGAGGAUUCUCGGCCAAGUGGGGAGGGAGAUUUUUCAGCAAUUAAUAAUUGUCAAAGAGAGCUCGAAAAAGAAAAGGGUGGAGCUUUUCUUCGUGGCCAAGAAAGAGAAAUACAGAGAGAGGAAAACUUUAAUAAAAAGAAGAGAAAAACAGGGAAGUGGUCAGCAAGCGAGAGGACUAAAAAGAAGAGGAAAACAGGGAAGUGGUCGGCAAAAGAAAACAGAGAUUUUGAAAAACAGAGGACGCAGAUUCUUGUGGAGGAUAUGCAAGCAAGAUUGAAAAGACGGAGAGAGAGAGAGGGCUGUCGGGGCACGCGUGAGGAAGUGACAGAGAGCAAAUGGUGCAAUUUCACCAUAAGUCAGUUUAAUUUACUUUCGAGGCAUCUAAAUUUCCUAAAAGUUACACUUUUUCUUUGCACUUUAAUUUCCAAGAAUUUUACUCCUCAUAGUUAAAUUUCUCCACCAUUUCAUCUCAAAGCCUAGAGCACCUUUCACUUGGAAAAAGCCAAAAAUGAAAUCAUGUUUAGCAUUGUUUUGAAAUUGAAUAAUUAUUGCAAAGUGCAUUUGCCAUCAUCUAAAGAAAUACUUUUGUUAAGGGAAUUUUUCCCGAAUAAAAAUAUACAAUUUUCCUCUAUUCUGACUAAAGGGCGGGUAAGAGUGUUCAGCUCUAAAGACCUUCACUGUAUCUUAUCAUAAAAGGUUCCCACAUCCCUAUAAAGUAUGCGGAUUGAACUGUAAUUGUUUCAGAGUUUUUCAACUUAGCUUCACCGAGAGAGAGAUGUUAUGGUGGAGAAGAGAAAAAAAUUUCAAAUAAUAGUUGCAUCACGAGAUAGUAAAAUGUAGUAUAAUAAACUUAUUAAUAUUGAGUAUUUUCAAUUUUCAAGCGCCAAAUUAAAAGAACAUGUAUAUUGCAUUCGGGCCAAUUACUUCACAUAUGACUGACACAUAAAAUACAUUUCCUUAGUAAAAGGGUAAUUUGGUCUUUUAAUUGAGGAUUUUUCUCUAAAGAUGUACAUUCUACAUAUAUCAAAAGCUGAGGAGCGUACAUGAUAUGGGAGUACUUUUGAAAUUUUCUUUAAUAUGAUCAAAGUAAAUAAAAACUCAAAAACCAUCUUUAUGCUCUAUCUUGGUUUCACUUUAUAUCCUCCAUCUCUAAAGUCAUGAAUCUAUGAAUUUGUUCUGUCACUUUCGUUAGUUGUCAGGUUUCAGAUUUUAAAUUCGUCAUUAAAUGAAUGGGACCCGGAAGUUUCGAGGAUGCCAACCCAUUGAUUGAUUCAUGGAAACUUUUAGGAAACUUCUCGGAUACUUCUCGAAUGACUCAAGUUGUUGACUAUUUUUGACUCGAGAAAAAAUUUGAAGUCAAGUCCCUUUUCCCCACGCCAGAGACUGAUAGAGCUUGUAAUACCGACAACCCUCGCUUAGAUCCAAGCACACCCAAAGCAAACUACACUGAGAGGAAGAAAGCAUUUGAUAUCGCUCAGAUCCAAGCACACCCAAAGCAAACUUCACUAAGAGGAAGAAAGCAUUUGAUAUCCGUGGCAUUUAGAGAUCCUACAAUGGAGAAAGGGACGAGUUCACAGGUGUCAUCUAGAUCUUCAUAUGAGGUUUUUCUAAGUUUUCGAGGAUUAGAUACCCGUCAUACAUUCACCGAUUUUCUUUAUCGUGACAUGGAUGAAGCUGGAAUCUGCGUCUUUAGGGACAAUGAAUCCCUCCAUGUCGGUGAAAAAAUUGGUAAGCUUUUACAUGCAAUUGAGAACUCUAAGAUCUACAUUCCCAUAUUCUCCACAAAUUAUGCUUCGAGUGACUGGUGUCUUCGAGAGCUUGCACAUAUGGUCAAAUGCACCUCAAAAUUGAAUGGGAACAAAGAGAUUCUACCCAUUUUCUUGGAUGUGGAACCUUCUGAUGUCAAGUUGAAAACAAAAUUGUAUCGACAAGCUCUUUCAAAGCGCCAAAAGACGUGCAGUGAAGUAGAGUCAUGGGAAAAGGCUCUCAUUGAGGUGGGCAAGAUAAUCGGAUGGAACUGGAAGAAAGAUGAAAGGUGAAUGUCUACAAUUUUUUAAACUAUCAUAUGUGGAUUUCCUUUUCCUCCAUAUUGAGUUUAAUUGCAGUAUUGCUGGUGAAAAAAUAGUUUAUUCAACUUUAGUAUCUCAUUCUUUUCAUUUUUUCUCCCAAUUUCUAAAUUUCUUUUCUUUUUCAUGAUAAUUAAGGAUAAAAGAGAUUUUUUUUUCAAAUAUUGAGACAGAAUUAUAUCACGUAAAAAUCACAUGCCUUGCACAUGCCGACGACAAAAUUGAUACACAGUUAAUGGUCGUGUAACAAACUGAAAGUGCAGGAAAUAUUGCGAAACAGUUGAAGGUUCGGCUGUGUACUACCCGAAAUUUAAGAUGAUUUUGUGUAUUACCUCUGCUUUCUUUCAACCUCAUUUAUAUGGCAUUUGCAUUUUUUUUUAUCCUGGAUUUCAUAAGCAUUUAAGAAAAAUAUAGGAGUAUACAACCGUAUGGCCAUUCGGCAUUCGCGUAGCGCGAGUCUAAGGGGCCAGUUAAUUUUUAACGAAUAGAAGAAUGCAACUUCUCUUUGUUUUUUUUUUUAAACGUUUACUUAAAAGGUGAAAAGCUGUGUUCUUUCGUGAACCUAGCUGCUCUACCAAGCCGCUGGCCAGCCACCGCAGCAGCUCUCCCUCAACCGUCACUUCUUCCUUGCCAGCCCGACAACAAGCCGCCAUCGAGCCAUCCGGCCCCCCACCCUUUCUUUCUCUCAUUCACUGGGAAGUCGGAUAUGGGCUCGGGAUGUCGGGCCCGAUGUCACCGAGCCCAUAUUUGGCAUUGCCGACCUUGGGUGACCUCAAAUUUGGCGCCGCCAAAGGCCGGUAAAGCAUCCUUGGCGGUUGCAAGGCCACAGGAUCCAUGUGACUUGAAGGAUUGAGGCAAGGCCGAGAUGGGCGGGUCGAUGGGGCGGGAUGGGCAACCCCGUUGGAACACAAUGGUGACGACCUGGGGAGGUGAGCGACGUCAAUGGCGGUGUGGUGGUGGCAGCGGUCGACAGUGAUGGUGACUAAAAUUGGGGGAGCGGAGACGGAUUGGAAAAAAUCCAGAUUAUUUUGCCGUCUAGAUUAUGUUGCAUAAUUUUUGCAAAUUGUAGGAGCAAUUGAGUCCUUGAGGGAGCAGUUUUGCAAUAUAAAAUAUAUCCUAACAUGGUUGUUACCUUGUUGCAGCCAAGCGGAUCUGAUAAAACUUGUGACUGAAACUGUGUUGCGUAAGCUGAAUGUCGGAAAUAAAAAGAUUGUGACUGAAAAUCUAGUUGGAGUUGAUGAUCGUGUAGAAGCUAUAAUAAAAAAGUUGGAUGUGGGAUCGGAUAGCGUACAAUUUCUUGGAAUCCAUGGAAUGGGCGGGAUUGGCAAAACAACACUUGCCAAGGUCAUCUUCAACCAACUGUCUUCUCACUUCGAAUACUGCCAUUUCCUUUCGGAUGUCCGAGAAACGUCACGAUGCGAUGUCCGAGAGAUGUCACGAUGCAAUGGUCUGGUAAAUUUGCAAAAACAGUUGCUAUCCAAGUUCCUUGAUUCUCCUUCCAUCCUCAACCAAAUUCAUGACACGGAUCAUGGGGCCAUAAUGAUUGAGAAAGUAUUUCGCAAUAAAAAAGUACUCAUUGUUCUUGACGAUGUGGAUGAGGAAAAGCAACUCAAAAGUCUAGCAAAGAAAGUUGAUUGGUUCGGUUCCGGUAGUAGGAUUAUCAUAACUACUAGGUACCAAAGUGUCCUAAGCAUUCGAGUAGAAGCAACAGGUGAAGCCCCUACACAUAUUUUGGCUCAUGAAGUAUUCGAAAUGGAAUGUGAUCAUGCUCUUAAGCUUUUCAGCAAACAUGCCUUUAGAAGAGACUCUCCUCUAGAUCAUUAUAUCCCCCUUUCCCAAAAAAUUAUCCAUACUUUGGGAAAUCUUCCUUUAGCCCUUGAGAUUAUAGGCUCAUUUCUUAGUGGUAAAUCCAUAGAAAUAUGGGGAGACACAUUGAAUAAGCUAAAAGAAGCUCCUCCUAAGGAAGUCCAAGAAACAUUGAUGAUAACUUAUGAAAGGUUAGAUGAUGCCCAAAGGCAAGUAUUUUUGGAUAUAGCUUGUUUUUUCGCUAAUAAGAAAAAAACAUACCCUCCCUACAUGUGGGAUGCUUGUGUAUACUACCCACACAAUGCCCUUGAAGUCCUCUCUCUCAUGUUCUUGAUAAAAAUCAAGGAUGACAAUACUUUCUGGAUGCAUGACCAAGUGCGGGACCUCGGAAGGGAAAUCGUUCGUAAAGAGAAUGUUGAUGAUCCGCGUGAGCGUAGCAGAGUGCAUGAUCCUGAGGUAGCGCUAAACAUUUUGAAGCGGAAAGAGGUAUGAAAGGGGAACAUCAAUUUAUUUUCUUGUGAAAUGUUGUAAAUAUUCUUGUAAAAAGAAAAAUUAAUCGCUAUUAACAAUUUGAAUUGUUUGCUUUUGACCUUCACCAUGUGGACUCCUUUGUGUUUCCAUUGUCAGGGGAGUAGGAAAAUUAAAGCACUGUCACUUGGAUUUCUCGAAGACACUUUUCUAGAGUUUGGAGAACUUAGAGGAUUUGAAGCACCGCCAAUUAGAUUUCAUGAAGACAUAAUUUUAAAGCAUGACGAAUUUGCUUAUUUAGAGAAGCUGAGGUUCUUUGAAGGAUAUCGGGCGUCCUUUGUUGGAGACUUCAAUAAUCUUCUUUCCGAUUUAAA